AGGCACGUAGCUCAGUUGGUUAGAGCACCACCUUGACAUGGUGGUGGUCGUUGGUUCGAGUCCAAUCGCGCCUACCA
rnacentral:tRNA from 1 species